CAAUAGCGUAUAUUAAAGUUGUUGCAGUUAAAACGCUCGUAGUCGGAUUUCGGGGCGGGCCGACCGGUCUGCCGAUGGGUAUGCACUGGCCGGCGCGUCCUUCCUUCCGGAGACCGUGCCUACUCUUAACUGAGCGGGUUCGGGAGACGGAUCGUUUACUUUGAAAAAUCAGAGUGUUUCAAGCAGGCAGCUCGCUCUUGCAUGGAUUAGCAUGGGAUAAUGAAAUAGGACUUUGGUGCUAUUUUGUUGGUUUCGAACACCGAAGUAAUGAUUAACAGGGACAGUCAGGGGCACUCGUAUUCCGCCGAGAGAGGUGAAAUUCUCAGACCAGCGGAAGACGAACCACUGCGAAAGCAUUUGCCAGGGAUGUUUUCACUGAUCAAGAACGAAAGUUAGGGGAUCGAAGACGAUCAGAUACCAU
rnacentral:rRNA from 1 species